rnacentral:rRNA from 1 species
CGGAACGGGUGAGUAACGCGUGAGGAACCUGCCUCAAAGAGGGGACGAACAGUUGGAAACGACUGCUAAUACCGCAUAAGCCCACGGCUCGGCAUCGAGCAGAGGGAAAAGGAGCAAUCCGCUUUGAGAUGGCCUCGCGUCCGAUUAGCUAGUUGGUGAGGUAACGGCCCACCAAGGCGACGAUCGGUAGCCGGACUGAGAGGUUGAACGGCCACAUUGGGACUGAGACACGGCCCAG